rnacentral:rRNA from 1 species
CACGUAGGGCGCAAGCGUUGUCCGGAAUUAUUGGGCGUAAAGAGCUCGUAGGCGGUCUGCCACGUCCGCUGUGAAAACCUAGGGCUUAACCCUGGGCUUGCAGUAGAUACGGGCAGACUAGAGGUAGGUAGGGGAGAAUGGAAUUUCCGGUGUAGCGGUGAAAUGCGCAGAUAUCGGGAGGAACACCGGUGGCGAAGGCGGUUCUCUGGGCCUUACCUGACGCUGAGGAGCGAAAGCGUGGGGAGCAAACAGG